rnacentral:rRNA from 1 species
AACGAACGCUGGCGGCAUGCCUAACACAUGCAAGUCGAACGGGAUCCUAGCUUGCUAGGUGAGAGUGGCGGACGGGUGAGUAACACGUGGGAAUCUGCCCUUUGGUCCGGGAUAACCGCGGGAAACUGCGGCUAAUACCGGAUGCCCUCGUGAGAGGAAAGAUUUAUCGCCAGAGGAGGAGCCCGCGUCCGAUUAGGUAGUUGGUGGGGUAAAGGCCUACCAAGCCGACGAUCGGUAGCUGGUCUGAGAGGAUGAUCAGCCACACUGGGACUGAGAUACGGCCCAGACUCCUACGGGAGGCAGCAGUGGGGAAUAUUGGACAAUGGGGGCAACCCUGAUCCAGCAAGGCCGCGUGAGUGAUGAAGGCCUUAGGGUUGUAAAGCUCUUUUGCCAGGGAAGAUGAUGACUGUACCUGGAGAAUAAGCCCCGGCUAACUUCGUGCCAGCAGCCGCGGUAA